AGUGAACGCUGGCGGUAGGCCUAACACAUGCAAGUCGAACGGCAGCACAGGAGAGCUUGCUCUCUGGGUGGCGAGUGGCGGCCGGGUGAGGAAUACAUCGGAAUCUACUUUUUCGUGGGGGAUAACGUAGGGAAACUUACGCUAAUACCGCAUACGACCUACGGGUGAAAGCAUGGGAUCUUCGGACCUUGCGCGAUUGCAUGAGCCGAUGUCGGAUUAGCUAGGUGGCGGGGUCAAGGCCCACCAAGGCGACGAUCCGUAGCUAGUCUGAGCAGACGAUGAGUCACACUUGAGCUGAGGAACGGGACAGACCCCUACGGGAGGCAGCGGUGGGAAAUAUUAGACAAUUGGCGCAAGCCUGAUCCAGCCAUACCGCGUGGGUGAAGAAGGCGUUCGGGUUGUAAAGCCCUUUUGUUGGGAAAGAAAUCCAGCUGGUUAAUACCCGGUUGGGAUGACAGUACCCAAAGAAUAAGCACCGGCUAACUUCGUGCCAGCCGCCGCUGUAA
rnacentral:rRNA from 1 species